ACGUAGGAGACAAACGUUAUCCGGAGUUACUGGGCGUAAAGGGCGUGUAGGUGGUUUCGUAAGUCUGGCGUGAAAUUUCUCGGCUUAACCGAGGCAGGUCGUCGGAUACUGCGGAACUUGAGGACGGUAGAGGCGUGUGGAAUUCCGGGUGUAGUGGUGAAAUGCGUAGAGAUCCGGAGGAACACCAGUGGCGAAGGCGACACGCUGGGCCGUACCUGACACUGAUGCGCGACAGCAUGGGGAGCAAACAGG
rnacentral:rRNA from 1 species